rnacentral:rRNA from 1 species
GGGUUGUGAGGUUAAGCGACUAAGCGUACACGGUGGAUGCCCUGGCAGUCAGAGGCGAUGAAGGGCGUGCUAAUCUGCGAUAAGCGCCGGUAAGGUGAUAUGAACCGUUAUAACCGGCGAUACCCGAAUGGGGAAACCCAGUGUGAUUCGUCACACUAUCAUUAACUGAAUCCAUAGGUUAAUGAGGCGAACCGGGGGAACUGAAACAUCUAAGUACCCCGAGGAAAAGAAAUCAACCGAGAUUCCCCCAGUAGCGGCGAGCGAACGGGGAGGAGCCCAGAGCCUGAAUCAGCAUGUGUGUUAGUGGAAGCGUCUGGAAAGGUGCGCGAUACAGGGUGACAGCCCCGUACACAAAAGCGCAUGUGCUGUGAGCUCGAUGAGUAGGGCGGGACACGUGGUAUCCUGUCUGAAUAUGGGGGGACCAUCCUCCAAGGCUAAAUACUCCUGACUGACCGAUAGUGAACCAGUACCGUGAGGGAAAGGCGAAAAGAACCCCGGCGAGGGGAGUGAAAAAGAACCUGAAACCGUGUACGUACAAGCAGUGGGAGCCCCACCACUAAGCCAGUGGUGAACUCCACAUCCGCAUCCUUUGCUGAGGAUACGGUUAACGGAGCGAAAGCGACGUUCAACCGCAAAACAAGCAGAGGGGGCUUAGUGGUGGGGUGACUGCGUACCUUUUGUAUAAUGGGUCAGCGACUUAUAUUCUGUAGCAAGGUUAACCGAAUAGGGGAGCCGGAGGGAAACCGAGUCUUAAUUGGGCGUUAAGUUGCAGGGUAUAGACCCGAAACCCGGUGAUCUAGCCAUGGGCAGGUUGAAGGUUGGGUAACACUAACUGGAGGACCGAACCGACUAAUGUUGAAAAAUUAGCGGAUGACCUGUGGCUGGGGGUGAAAGGCCAAUCAAACCGGGAGAUAGCUGGUUCUCCCCGAAAGCUAUUUAGGUAGCGCCUCGUGAAUUCAUCUCCGGGGGUAGAGCACUGUUUCGGCUAGGGGGCCAUCCCGGCUUACCAACCCGAUGCAAACUGCGAAUACCGGAGAAUGUUAUCACGGGAGACACACGGCGGGUGCUAACGUCCGUCGUGAAGAGGGAAACAACCCAGACCGCCAGCUAAGGUCCCAAAGUCAUGGUUAAGUGGGAAACGAUGUGGGAAGGCCCAGACAGCCAGGAUGUUGGCUUAGAAGCAGCCAUCAUUUAAAGAAAGCGUAAUAGCUCACUGGUCGAGUCGGCCUGCGCGGAAGAUGUAACGGGGCUAAACCAUGCACCGAAGCUGCGGCAGCGAACGUAUCACCCAAGACAACUUUACGGAGUUGACGAUUGACGGAGCGAAGCGACGUCAAAGCGUUCAUUAAAGUCGAGUUGGCUUAGGGAUACGUUCGUUGGGUAGGGGAGCGUUCUGUAAGCCUGUGAAGGUGUGUCGUGAGGCAUGCUGGAGGUAUCAGAAGUGCGAAUGCUGACAUAAGUAACGAUAAAGCGGGUGAAAAGCCCGCUCGCCGGAAGACCAAGGGUUCCUGUCCAACGUUAAUCGGGGCAGGGUGAGUCGACCCCUAAGGCGAGGCCGAAAGGCGUAGUCGAUGGGAAACGGGUUAAUAUUCCCGUACUUGGUGUUACUGCGAAGGGGGGACGGAGAAGGCUAUGUUGGCCGGGCGACGGUUGUCCCGGUUUAAGCGUGUAGGUGUGUGUUCCAGGUAAAUCCGGUUCACUUUAACACUGAGGCGUGACGACGAGGCACUACGGUGCUGAAGCAACAAAUGCCCUGCUUCCAGGAAAAGCCUCUAAGCAUCAGGUAACAUCAAAUCGUACCCCAAACCGACACAGGUGGUCAGGUAGAGAAUACCAAGGCGCUUGAGAGAACUCGGGUGAAGGAACUAGGCAAAAUGGUGCCGUAACUUCGGGAGAAGGCACGCUGACACGUAGGUGAAGUGAUUUACUCAUGGAGCUGAAGUCAGUCGAAGAUACCAGCUGGCUGCAACUGUUUAUUAAAAACACAGCACUGUGCAAACACGAAAGUGGACGUAUACGGUGUGACGCCUGCCCGGUGCCGGAAGGUUAAUUGAUGGGGUCAGCGCAAGCGAAGCUCCUGAUCGAAGCCCCGGUAAACGGCGGCCGUAACUAUAACGGUCCUAAGGUAGCGAAAUUCCUUGUCGGGUAAGUUCCGACCUGCACGAAUGGCGUAAUGAUGGCCAGGCUGUCUCCACCCGAGACUCAGUGAAAUUGAACUCGCUGUGAAGAUGCAGUGUACCCGCGGCAAGACGGAAAGACCCCGUGAACCUUUACUAUAGCUUGACACUGAACAUUGAGCCUUGAUGUGUAGGAUAGGUGGGAGGCUUUGAAGUGUGGACGCCAGUCUGCAUGGAGCCGACCUUGAAAUACCACCCUUUAAUGUUUGAUGUUCUAACGUGGACCCGUAAUCCGGGUUGCGGACAGUGUCUGGUGGGUAGUUUGACUGGGGCGGUCUCCUCCUAAAGAGUAACGGAGGAGCACGAAGGUUGGCUAAUCCUGGUCGGACAUCAGGAGGUUAGUGCAAUGGCAUAAGCCAGCUUGACUGCGAGCGUGACGGCGCGAGCAGGUGCGAAAGCAGGUCAUAGUGAUCCGGUGGUUCUGAAUGGAAGGGCCAUCGCUCAACGGAUAAAAGGUACUCCGGGGAUAACAGGCUGAUACCGCCCAAGAGUUCAUAUCGACGGCGGUGUUUGGCACCUCGAUGUCGGCUCAUCACAUCCUGGGGCUGAAGUAGGUCCCAAGGGUAUGGCUGUUCGCCAUUUAAAGUGGUACGCGAGCUGGGUUUAGAACGUCGUGAGACAGUUCGGUCCCUAUCUGCCGUGGGCGCUGGAGAACUGAGGGGGGCUGCUCCUAGUACGAGAGGACCGGAGUGGACGCAUCACUGGUGUUCGGGUUGUCAUGCCAAUGGCACUGCCCGGUAGCUAAAUGCGGAAGAGAUAAGUGCUGAAAGCAUCUAAGCACGAAACUUGCCCCGAGAUGAGUUCUCCCUGAGACUUAGAGUCUCCUGAAGGAACGUUGAAGACGACGACGUUGAUAGGCCGGGUGUGUAAGCGCAGCGAUGCGUUGAGCUAACCGGUACUAAUGAACCGUGAGGCUUAACCUUACAACGCCGAAG